rnacentral:rRNA from 1 species
AUUGAACGCUGGCGGCAGGCCUAACACAUGCAAGUCGAACGAGUGGCGGACGGGCGAGUAAUGUCUGGGAACCUGCCUGAUGGAGGGGGAUAACUACUGGAAACGGUAGCUAAUACCGCAUACCAUCGGAUCGGCCCAGAUGGGAUUAGCGAGUAGGUGGGGUAAAGGCUCACCUAGGCGACGAUCCAUAGCUGGCCUGAGAGGGUGACCAGCCACACUGGAACUGAGACACGGUCCAGACUCCGACGGGAGGCAGCAGUGGGGAAUAUUGCGCAAUGGGCGAAAGCCUGAUGCAGCAAUGCCGCGUGUGUGAAGAAGGCCUUCGGGUUGUAAAGUACUUUCAGCGGGGAGGCGUUACCCACAGAGGAAGCAACGGCUAACUCCGUGCCAGCAGCCGCGGUAAUUC